GAGUUUGAUCGUGGCUCAGAUUGAACGCUGGCGGCAUGCCUUACACAUGCAAGUCGAACGGCAGCACGGGAGCUUGCUCCUGGUGGCGAGUGGCGAACGGGUGAGUAAUGCAUCGGAACGUAUCCUGGAGUGGGGGAUAACGUAGCGAAAGUUACGCUAAUACCGCACUAUUCUGUGAGCAGGAAAGCGGGGGACCUUCGGGCCUCGCGCUCUUGGAGCGGCCGAUGUCGGAUUAGCUAGUUGGUGAGGUAAAGGCUCACCAAGGCGACGAUCCGUAGCAGGUCUGAGAGGAUGAUCUGCCACACUGGAACUGAGACACGGUCCAGACUCCUACGGGAGGCAGCAGUGGGAAUUUGGACAAUGGGGGCAACCCUGAUCCAGCCAUGCCGCGUGAGUGAAGAAGG
rnacentral:rRNA from 1 species